AUGGCCUUCACAGUUUGCAAGAACGAGAUGGAUGACCUUAUCAAGAUGAUGGUUCCCAAAGGAGUUGAAGCCUCUACUCCAUGGGCUAUUGAAGAGAAUAAUGGUCGAAAUGUUGAAGACAAUGAUGAUAAUGAAAUUGAGGCUGGUAGUGAAGAGAGUGGAGGUGGUUAUGAAUCUGGUUCUUUUGAAGACUCUGAAGAUUGA